rnacentral:pre_miRNA from 1 species
GUGUGUUUGUGUGUUGAUAGUGUUCAGUACCAAGGACAUGCCAUGUAUGUCUGUGGAUAGUGUUCAGUACCAAGGACAGGUCUGUUUGUGU